rnacentral:rRNA from 1 species
CAAUAGCGUAUAUUAAAGUUGUUGCAGUUAAAAAGCUCGUAGUUGGAUUUGUGGCGUACGGUGUGUUCCGGGCACUUGUUGUCUGAGUAACCUGCUGUUGCCAUCCUUGGGUGGAACCUGUGUGGCAUUAGGUUGUCGUGCAGGGGAUGCCCAUCAUUUACUGUGAAAAAAUUAGAGUGUUCAAAGCAGGCUUAUGCCGUUGAAUAUAUUAGCAUGGAAUAAUGAGAUAGGACUUUUUUGCUAUUUUGUUGGUGUGCGCAAAGAGGUAAUGAUUAAUAGGGACAGUUGGGGGUAUUCGUAUUCCAUUGUCAGAGGUGAAAUUCUUGGAUUUUUGGAAGACGAACUACUGCGAAAGCAUUUACCAAGGAUGUUUUCAUUAA